rnacentral:rRNA from 1 species
UACGGGGGGAGCAAGCGUUGUUCGGAUUUACUGGGCGUAAAGGGCGCGUAGGCGGCCACCGCAAGUCGACUGUGAAAUCUCCGGGCUUAACCCGGAAAGGUCAGCCGAUACUGCGGGGCUAGAGUGCAGAAGGGGCAACUGGAAUUCUCGGUGUAGCGGUGAAAUGCGUAGAUAUCGUUUGGAACGCCAACGGUGAAAACAGACAGCUGGGAGUGUGCUGACGCUGAGACACGAAAGCCAGGGGAGCGAACGGG